UGAAAAUCAAGCUGGGUUUACACUAAGUGAAGUGUUUAAAAGGGAGCAGCAAAAUACCUUGUAGGGGAUUUCUAUUUUAAAGUGGAGCAGCAGGCGUCAGGAAUAAAUGAAUGAUUCAUGCUCGAUUUGACAGAACAAUAUGCAUUCCAAUCAUAUGGAACCGGCACGUUUUCAGGUGAAUUCAUCAGUAUUUUUAACGCUUCUUUAGAGUAUGUUCACACAUACUUUACUUGCUGUGGAUCUGACAAAUGAAAAUCUGCAGGUAUUGUUAUAGCACGUGAUCAGCAGUAUUUUGUGCAUGAAAUCUGCACUUUGUAUUAGUGGGGACGUCAUCCAGAAAAAAUUCAAGCGAAAUCCGUAGCAAGUACGGUACACAUUAAAGUACACUUAAAGUGUAACUGUCAUUUAAAACGUUUAAAGCAAUAGUUAAAGCAAUUAUAAGAAUCACUGCAAUAUAUCCUGUCUGAGAAAUAUGCUUACUUCUGCACGCACAAGGCUGCCUCCCCCUUCCGCACUUCUUAUCUGCUCAUUACUAUGGAAAAUGUAAGUUUUCUGCUUACACUACCAAUACAAGUCUUUAAAGAGGGGAGGGGAGAUGAGUGAGGAGGAGAGGAAGUGUAGGCACACAGAAACAGAC